rnacentral:rRNA from 1 species
GAUGAACGCUGGCGGCGUGCCUAAUACAUGCAAGUCGAGCGAACGGACGAGAAGCUUGCUUCUCUGAUGUUAGCGGCGGACGGGUGAGUAACACGUGGAUAACCUACCUAUAAGACUGGGAUAACUUCGGGAAACCGGAGCUAAUACCGGAUGAUAUUUUGAACCGCAUGGUUCAAAAGUGAAAGACGGUCUUGCUGUCACUUAUAGAUGGAUCCGCGCUGCAUUAGCUAGUUGGUAAGGUAACGGCUUACCAAGGCAACGAUGCAUAGCCGACCUGAGAGGGGGACCGCCCAAACGGGACCUAGAAAAGGUCCCAGCCCCCUACGGGAGGCAGCAGUGGGAAUACUUCCGCAAGGGGCGAAAGCCUGACGAGGCAACGCGCGUGGGUGGAUGAAGGCCUUCGGUUCGUAAAACUCUGUUAUUAGGGAAAAACAUAGGUGUAAGUAACUGUGCACAUCUGGAGGGAACCAAAUCAGAAAGCCCCGCCUAACUACGU